GCAAUCCUUGUCUUGGGGUGAGUGAGCUACUCAAUGAACGACUAGUGAGAGGAGCUCUGCUGACACCAUAAUGACACAUCUGCAUCACCUGAACUCUGGUUCAGAGUAUGGUGCAAUUUUUGGAAAC
ensembl:snRNA U4atac minor spliceosomal RNA